rnacentral:rRNA from 1 species
GACGAACGCUGGCGGUGUGCUUAACACAUGCAAGUCGAACGGAAAGGCCCUGCUUUUGUGGGGUGCUCGAGUGGCGAACGGGUGAGUAACACGUGAGUAACCUGCCCUUGACUUUGGGAUAACUUCAGGAAACUGGGGCUAAUACCGUAUAGGAGCUCCUGCUGCAUGGUGGGGGUUGGAACGUUUCGGCGGUUGGGGAUGGACUCGCGGCUUAUCAGCUUGUUGGUGGGGUAGUGGCUUACCAAGGCUUUGACGGGUAGCCGGCCUGAGAGGGUGACCGGCCACAUUGGGACUGAGAGAAGGCCCAGACUCCUACGGGAGGAAGCAGUGGGGAAGAUUGCACAAUGGGCGGAAGCCUGAUGCAGCAACGCCGCGUGCGGGAUGACGGCCUUCGGGUUGUAAACCGCUUUCGCCUGUGACGAAGCGUGAGUGACGGUAAUGGGUAAAGAAGCAACGGCUAACUACGUG